CCUACGGGAGGCAGCAGUGAGGAAUAUUGGUCAAUGGGCGCGAGCCUGAACCAGCCAAGUAGCGUGAAGGAUGACUGCCCUACGGGUUGUAAACUUCUUUUAUAAAGGAAUAAAGUGAGGCACGUGUGCCAUUUUGUAUGUACUUUAUGAAUAAGGAUCGGCUAACUCCGUGCCAGCAGCCGCGGUAAUACGGAGGAUACGAGCGUUAUCCGGAUUUUUUGGGUUUAAAGGGGGCGUAGGCGUGGAGGUAAGUCAUCUGUGAAAUGCCCCCGCUCAACGGGGUGAAGUGCCAUUGAUACUGGCUGGCUGGAGUGCGGAUGCGGUGGGAGGAAUGUGUGGUGUAGCGGUGAAAUGCAUAGAUAUCACGCAGAACACCGAUUGCGAAGGCAGCUCAC
rnacentral:rRNA from 1 species